ensembl:lncRNA
ACCGAGCUGAGCAAAAAGGGCGGGAAGCGGCCCUCCUUUUCUCUGUGAUUCAGCAAAGUGCACAUGAGCAGAAAAAUACUUUAAAAGUGCAUUUAAGGGCAGGAGAUAACACUCCAGAACCUUUACAGUGAGACUGCUGCACAGACUCCCGGUGCUAGUCCAGCACUGCGUUAUGAUGCAUAUGCUGAAGUCUUCUGUUGGGAAUAAGUGGGAAGAAAGCCCUGAAUACACACAGAGGAGAAGAAGAAGAGAAGAUAAUAAAGCAUUCACAAGCAAGUCAUUUCCAUAGCCUGUCCUGGUGAUAUGCACUAGAAGAUGCCCAGUGGAAUCAACCUAAAACUGAUUUUAUUGCUGUGAUCAUCGGAGGGCUAACCAUGACUCUGUAAAACCUUUUCCCCUUCUGCAGGAAUUAUGUGCUGUUCAGGCAGGGGUAUCCACACAUCAUUGGUUUUAUAUCCCUCAUUCAAGCUGACUACACCAGUUCCUGCUGAACAAAUUUCCAGCGUGUCUCUCACUCUCCCUCUGUACUGAUACUUAAAGAUUUUAUUUGGUUUCUUAUUGUCAUGUUUAAUUCCAUGCUGUCAAGAUUGUUUUGUCUUAAUUGCAGUAGAUUUCUGUAUAAAUAGCUUCAUUGUACCCUUCUGUUGAGGAUGUGCAGUUUUAAAAGUGUUUUUUGUCUGUGUAGAAGUUAGAUGUUGUUUCAAACCUGCCAUAGAACACAUCUUUUAGGAGAGUAGAAGACUUCAAACUGAAAACAAGUUGCUACAUACCCACACGAGGCAAAACUCAGCAAUGAUAAUCAAAAUAUGUAAAAUGAAAAUAUGUGUGGCAGAGGAAAGCAUAAAAUGCAAAUUUUUUGUAAAGAAGGCUUGAAAAAUUACACAAAGUAGGUUUUUAUCUCUAUGAUCCAUUCUAAUUUUAUAGCUGACAGCUUUCAUAUAGCCAUUCAAAAAAUCUUUUAUGAAAAAAGUGCCCUUAUGGUACACCCUGAUGCUUCUGAUCCAAAUUGCAGGCUGAUGUAGGUGAAGGAAGCCUUUAACUUCAGUGCCUGAAGUAUGAUUUCAGUGUAGACGCUAAUGUAUGCUAUUUGAGGCUAGAGCAAGAGACCACCUGUUAGCCAAAAGGCAGCAGGAGAAACACGGUGGAUCACACAGAUGGCUGCAGGCUGUGACAAGCACUAAUUACAUGGAGGUGUCCAGACCAGGUCAGAUCAAAGGGCUGUGCAGUGUUGGAGCCUGCCUCCAGCAGUGAGUGCUGAAGCGUACAAGAGCGAGGCACACGCAGGUGACACUGCUCCCCACAUCCAGGGAUCCGCAGCUCAGGCACUUCUGCAUUCAGAGGUAUUAUCAUUGGUUUUAGCAGUCUGAGACGGAUUUUGCUUCCUCUUUUUUUUUUUUUCUUUUUUUUCCACAUAGCACUUCACAUUUCCAAGGUAACUUCCAGCCAAAGUUCCUUAGAACAUGACCCAAAGCACGGGCGCUCUUAUUCAACAGGUCAGCAAAUGGAGGCACAACCUAUGAUGAACUGUGAUUAUCCGAAGCUCCUACUGGUUGCAAACAGAUGCAAACCAAACCAAAAACUUAAUAAUAAAUGUAAGUGAGCUAAGCAGAAUUCAGAUUGUAGCCUCCUUCACACCAGGAGCACAUUGAUGCAGUGAUGAUGUGUUACAUUCUGCUUAAAGGUACUGACUAAUCACAGCUAAAUCUGUUGAUGAAAAAUAACAUAUUCCACAUAUUUUUCACCUAACAAGUGUAAUUUAAUACCUUACACAAUCUCUGCUACUGAAUCCUCCACGGAUGUUGCCUGCUGUAGAAGGAAGAGUCUUUUACUAUAAAGGGGUUCUCCACU